rnacentral:misc_RNA from 1 species
GGAAAGGCUUCUCUGCCACUUACGAACAAGUCUCCUUGCAGAGCCAAGGCUCUGGUGUAAUAAAGCCCCUCCCUAUGACCUAAUUAAUCAGGGAAAGAAUCAGAGUGAGAGACCACCUGAUAUCAAUGUCAUAAAUGUAAAGAAUCAGGGUCCUGGGCUGUCUGACGUUUGAAUCGUUUGUAAACAGAAUUUAGUAUGAAAAUUAACUCUCGUGGUUCUGUUUAUAAUUACGAUUCAGAAAGAGCAAAUAUUUUUUGAUCUGUGAACAUUGAAUACAGUUACAUAUUAUAUAAACAGUUUAUUGUUGAAUUGUGAACCUCUUAAAGCAUAGAACGAAGUCUACAUUUGAAGUAUAUUAUUUCAAAUGUUUCAAUCUGUUCUGAUCUGUAUGACUAUUGUGUAGAACUGGAAUUAACUGUUGUUGAAAAAAUAGCUACAUGUAGUUUAUAUAAAUGUAAAAUUCUGUAUGUGUAUAUUAAAUGAUCAAUGGAUCUAGUGGUUGAUACAUAUUUAUUGUGUUGCUGUUCAAUAAUCACUUAAAAACAAAUUCAGCUAGAGUUCAAAGUUUUUAUCCUCUUUUUCAUAUUUUUUAGUCUGUUGUACAAUAGUUUCAAUUUGUAUGAUACUACGGAUAAUUUGUAUAACAAAUAUUAUUGAGUCUUUGCCUCUGUGCAAAGUUUGACUGACAAGCUGAUUAUAAGGGCUUGUUUGUAUAACCUGGAAAAAACAUUAGUUAGAGGAAAAGUAAUUUUCUUUGAAAACACUCAGGUUAAGAAUGUCACUUAAUUUACAAAUUAAUGUACAUGAAAUACAGGUUUGCUUAAGCUCAUUGUUUUAGGAGCAUUUGUCUAUGAAUAAGUAAGAUUUGUUGAUACGUACAUGGUUUUUUUUUGCAAAUGAAUCUUACCUGUUUAAAAAUUUGAUUUCAAUUUGAUAUGCAUCAUGAUGAUUCUGAAAAUAGUUGCAAUAUCAUGUGUUUAGUUUUGCACAAGGUUGAGAUGGCAGUUAAAAGAAGUUUGAUUUGUACAAUAAAGUAAAUGUUUUAAUGUCAUAAAAAUUGUUUCAUAAAUAUUUAUUUUUGAAAACACAAUAUAUGUUUUGUUAAAAUUCAGAUAUCCCCCAAUCUAUAUACUUUUGUAAGUUUAAAGUCUCAAGAAAUCAUAUGUGUUAUCUAACAAUUUUGUUUUGUAGACUGGUGGUGUAUAUUUUUGAAACAAAAAUAAAUUUAUUUUAAAAAACAUUC